UACGUAGGGGGCAAGCGUUGUCCGGAUUUAUUGGGCGUAAAGAGCGUGUAGGCGGCCACACAGGUCAGCUGUGAAAAACUCGAGGCUCAACCUCGAGACGCCGAUGGAAACCGUCUGGCUAGAGUCCGGAAGAGGAGAGUGGAAUUCCUGGUGUAGCGGUGAAAUGCGCAGAUAUCAGGAAGAACACCCGUGGCUAAGGCGGCUCUCUAGUACGGUACUGACGCUGAGACGCGAAAAGCGUGGGGGAGCGAACAGG
rnacentral:rRNA from 1 species